rnacentral:rRNA from 1 species
UGCAGUCGACGGCAGCACAGCAGUAGCAAUACUGUGGGUGGCGAGUGGCGGACSGKUGAGUAAUGCAUCGGGACCUGCCCAGACGUGGGGGAUAACGUAGGGAAACUUACGCUAAUACCGCAUACGUCCUACGGGAGAAAGCGGGGGAUCGAAAGACCUCGCGCGGCUGGAUGGACCGAUGUUCGAUUAGCUAGUUGGUGAGGUAAUGGCUCACCAAGGCGACGAUCGAUAGCUGGUCUGAGAGGAUGAUCAGCCACACUGGGACUGAGACACGGCCCAGACUCCUACGGGAGGCAGCAGUGGGGAAUAUUGGACAAUGGGCGAAAGCCUGAUCCAGCAAUGCCGCGUGUGUGAAGAAGGCCUUCGGGUUGUAAAGCACUUUUAUCAGGAGCGAAAUACUGCCGGCUAAUACCCGGCGGGGCUGACGGUACCUGAGGAAUAAGCACCGGCUAACUUCGUGCCAGCAGCCGCGGUAAUACGAAGGGUGCAAGCGUUAAUCGGAAUUACUGGGCGUAAAGCGUGCGUAGGCGGUUCUUUAAGUCUGCUGUGAAAUCCCCGGGC